rnacentral:rRNA from 1 species
AGUGAACGCUGGCGGUAGGCCUAACACAUGCAAGUCGAACGGCAGCACAGUAAGAGCUUGCUCUUACGGGUGGCGAGUGGCGGACGUGUGAGGAAUACAUCGGAAUCUACUUUUUCGGGGGGGAUAACGUAGGUAAACUUACGCUAAUACCGCAUACGCCCUACGGGUGAAAGCAGGGGAUCUUCGGACCUUGCGCGAUUGAAUUAGCCGAUGUCGGAUUAGCUAGUUGGCGGGGUAAAGGCCCACCAAGGCGACGAUCCGUAGCUGGUCUGAGAGGAUGAUCAGCCACACUGGAACUGAGACACGGUCCAGACUCCUACGGGAGGCAGCAGUGGGGAAUAUUGGACAAUGGGCGCAAGCCUGAUCCAGCCAGACCGCGUGGGUGAAGAAGGCCUUCGGGUUGUAAAGCCCUUUUGUUGGGAAAGAAAAGCAGCAGGUUAAUACCCCGCUGUUCUGACGGUACCCAAAGAAUAAGCACCGGCUAACUUCGUG